rnacentral:rRNA from 1 species
AACAAACGCUGGCGGCGUGCCUAAUACAUGCAAGUCGAACGGGGUAGCAAUACCUAGUAGCGCACGGGUGAGGAACGCGUGGAUAAUCUGCCUUAGAGUGGGGGAUAACUAGUCGAAAGAUUAGCUAAUACCGCAUAAAACCACAGGAGCUGCGGCUCUAGGGGUCAAAGGUUUUUCGCUCUAAGAUGAGUCCGCGUAAGAUUAGCUAGUUGGUGAGGUAACGGCUCACCAAGGCGACGAUCUUUAACUGGUCUGAGAGGAUGAUCAGUCACACUGGAACUGAGACACGGUCCAGACUCCUACGGGAGGCAGCAGUAGGGAAUAUUGCACAAUGGAGGAAACUCUGAUGCAGCGACGCCGCGUGAGUGAUGAAGGCCUUCGGGUCGUAAAGCUCUGUCGCAGGGGAAUAACACAAUGAAUGUACCCUGUAAGAAAGGAUCGGCUAACUUCGUGCCAGCCGCCGCUGUAAAAC